rnacentral:rRNA from 1 species
GCAGUGCGCAGCUAUAAUGCAGUCGAACGCUGAACACUGGUGCUUGCACUACUCACAUGAAUUGCUUAAGAGUGAGUAACGCGUAGGUAGCCUACCUCAUGAGUGGGGAUAGCUAUUGCAGACGAUAGCUAAUACCGCAUGACAGUUAACUACUCCUGUACUAAAUUUAAAAAGAGCACUUGCUGCACUAUGAUAUGGACAUGCGUUGUAUUACCUAUCUGGAGAGGUAACGGCUCACCUAGGCUACUAUACAUAUCCGAGCUGAGAGGGUGAUCGGCCACACUGGGACUGAAACACGGCCCAGACUCCUACGGGAGGCAGCAGUAGGGAAUCUUCCGCAAUGGGGGCAACCCUGACCAUCUUCCGCCGCGUGAGUGAAGAAGGUUUUCGGAUCGUACAGCUCUGUUGUUAGAUAACAACUCUAAUGGGAGUGGAAAAUCCAUUACGUGACGGUAACAAACCUGUUUGGACGGCUAACUACUUGCCAGCAGCCGCGGUAAUACGUACGUCUCGAGCGUUGUCCGGAUUUAUUGGGCGUAAAGCGAGCGCAGGCGGUUAUUUAAGUCUGAAGUUAAAGGCCGUGGCUCAACCAUGGUUCGCUUUGGAAACUGGAUAACUUGAGUGUGCAUUGGGAAAGGGGAAUUCCAUGUGUAGCGGUGAAAUGCGUAAAUAUAUGGAGGAACACCGGUGGCGAAAGCGGCUCUCUGAUCUGCAACUGACGCUGAGGCUCUCAAGCGUGCGGAUCAAACAGGAGUAGAUACCCUGGUAGUCCACACCGUAUACGAUGACUGCUAAGUGUUAGGCCCUUUCCAGGACUUAUUGCCGCAGCUAACGUAUUACGCAUUCCUCCUGGGGAGUACGACCGCAAGGUUGAAACUCAAAGGUAUUGACGCGAGCCCGCACCACCGGUGGAUCAUGUGGUUCACUCCGAAGCAGCGCAAAAAACCUUCCAUGUCUUGACAUCCCGUCUGACCGUACCUAGAUAUAGAACUCUCCUUCAGGACAAAAGUGAC